rnacentral:rRNA from 1 species
UUGAAAGGGAAACGAUUGAAGUCAGUCGUACCUUCGGGUAAUCAGCCUUUCGGGUGCGAUUAUGUGGAGCGUGGGGAGCUAAACACCUUCAUGCCUGCGUAUUUGUAUUCUGGGGUGUACUUGGACGUGCGGUAGGUUAACAUCAAUUUCGGAUAUCAUAAAAUGGCUGGAGGAAUGUAGCUUCGGUCUCGUACUGAAGUGUUAUAGCCUUUGGUAGAUGUGAUGACCGGGAUUGAGGAUUGCAACGAAUACCUUUUGGGCUAUCCGUCUGAUCUCUGAAAGUUGCUCUGGUGCCGAAAGCUUGCUUACGGUUAUCAAAGUUGACGUUCAAAAGGUUAGAACGGGUUAAAUUCGUUAAGGAUGUUGACGUA